rnacentral:rRNA from 1 species
GACGAACGCUGGCGGCGUGCUUAACACAUGCAAGUCGAACGAAGUGGCGAACGGGUGAGUAGUGCGUAAUCCACCUGCCCUUCAGAGGGGGACAACAGGUGGAAACGACUGCUAAUACCGCAUCCUGCAGGAGGGGAUUGCGUUUGAUUAGCUAGUUGGAGGGGUAACGGCCCCCCAAGGCGAUGAUCAGUAGCAGGUCUGCGAGGAUGAACGGCCACAGUGGGACUGAGACACGGCCCAGACUCCUACGGGAGGCAGCAGUGGGGAAUCGUCCGGAAUGAGCGAAAGUCUGACGGAGCAACGCCGAGUGAGUGAUGACGGCCUUCGGGUGGUAAAGCUCUGUUAAUCGGGACGCGGUACCGGCAUAGAAAGCCACGGCUAACUACGUGCCAGCAGCCGCGGUAAUUC